rnacentral:rRNA from 1 species
AAGGCCUCGCGCGAGUUGGAUGAGCCGACGCGUAUUAGCUAGUUGGUGGGUAAAGGCCCACCAAGGCGACGAUCCGUAGCUGGUCUGAGAGGAUGAUCAGCCACACUGGAACUGAGACACGGUCCAGACUCCUACGGGAGGCAGCAGUGGGGAAUAUUGGACAAUGGGCGCAAGCCUGAUCCAGCAAUGCCGCGUGUGUGAAGAAGGCCUUCGGGUUGUAAAGCACUUUUAUCAGGUACGAAAAGCGUUGGAUUAAUACUCUGACGUGCUGACGGUACCUGAGGAAUAAGCACCGGCUAACUUCGUG